rnacentral:misc_RNA from 1 species
AAGACUAUAGACCUGCGGAGUACCUGCGGAGGGAUCAUUAACGUAUCUAUGAUGGGGUGCGGAGCGCCCUGCUCCGGUCGAACGGCCGUGCAGCGGGUGCGCCGCCCCCGUCCCACCUCACAAACCCACUGUGAACAUUCACCGGUGGAGGGGGCUCGGUCUGCGCCGUGUCCCCGAUGCCGAAUACCCAAACUCCUGUUGCAAAGAACGUCGUGCGGACUCGGUGCCGCCUAAAACAUG